rnacentral:rRNA from 1 species
AUUGAACGCUGGCGGCAGGCCUAACACAUGCAAGUCGAACGGUAGCACAGAGAGCUUGCUCUCGGGUGACGAGUGGCGGACGGGUGAGUAAUGUCUGGGAAACUGCCUGAUGGAGGGGGAUAACUACUGGAAACGGUAGCUAAUACCGCAUAAUGUCGCAAGACCAAAGAGGGGGACCUUCGGGCCUCUUGCCAUCGGAUGUGCCCAGAUGGGAUUAGCUUGUUGGUGAGGUAAAAGCUCACCAAGGCGACGAUCCCUAGCUGGUCUGAGAGGAUGACCAGCCACACUGGAACUGAGACACGGUCCAGACUCCUACGGGAGGCGGCAGUGGGGAAUAUUGCACAAUGGGCGCAAGCCUGAUGCAGCCAUGCCGCGUGUGUGAAGAAGGCCUUCGGGUUGUAAAGCACUUUCAGCGGGGAGGAAGGCGGUGAGUUUAAUAAGCUCACCGAUUGACGUUACCCGCAGAAGAAGCACCGGCUAACUCCGUGCCAGCAGCCGCAGUAA